CGAACAUCUCGCUACCUAGACCAAUGUACUAUAAUUUGGAUUCAACAUAAAAUGGAUACAGAUAUUUGAAUUGGAGAUCGUAGGUACAUGUAGUUCAUUUUUAAAUAUGAUUACUUCUGCUAACACUCUGGACCCGCACCGGACUCUUCAAUCAAACGAAACCACCAACCCCACUCACGCGGAACCACCCACGCACCCCACCUCUCUGCCACGAUCCCCCCCGAUCUGGUUUCUUCCCCCACCGGCGCCGCCUCACCCCCAACCUCUGCUUCUUCCCCGGCCGGUGCCACCACCCCCAUCCGGCUUCUCCCACGCCGGUUCCGCAGCCGCCAGGCAACAGCCUUCCCGCGCCCAACUCCUCCUCCUCCCCAUGGUCAUGGCGCCACCACGUACCGUCCGGUGUGCUUGAUCCUCUGCCUUCCUCUCCCCAGACCGGAUUUGCAUCCAUGGCGGUCCGCCUCCUUCCCACCCGCCGUAACCUUCGUAUCGUAGCCGAUGCAGGCCCCACCGCCGGAAACGCCCCCGAUGGUUGGUCGCACAUCGUGCCACCACCAACCUCGGCUGCCAGGUUCCCUCCUGUCCUUCCAUGGUGAGCUCUGCCUCGCGUGGGACUCGGACCACCCCACCACCAGAUCCGUCAAGGGGAGGCAGAGGGGCUCCGGGCCACCACCGUCGGCCACACACGGCCACCACCUCCACGAAGGGGUGCUCCGGGCCACCACUGCCGGCGCCGCGCCCUUGCCUUCCCCACUGGAUUCAUCCUCGCCAGCGGGCUAGGCCACGGGCAUAGAGGAGCAAGGAGAAGUUCUCCUAUCUGGCGCCGCUCCCAACUAGCACCGAUCUGGUUCCCCUUCCCUAAGUCCUACCUCAGACGAGCUCCUCCCUAUCUGCUACUGCUUCUGUUCAUUGUGAAAAUCCAUGGCCGCGCUGCGUCCCAGGCAAAAAGGUGUGUGCGCUGCCGCGCUGCUUAGUGCAGCAGCCAAAAAAAAGAAAACAUCGCGAAAGAAGUCCAUUUCUUUUUAGAUGCAGUACGCCUCGUCGACGCAGCUCAUCUGAAAAAUAUAGUGUAGUUCGUUGCUACAGAAGUUUGUGAUUUAUAUCAGUGGAGAUAAUGUAAAAAGAAACUAUGCAGUUCAUUGUGUGUAUGCUUGCAAAAUGUGGUGUGUGUAUGCUUGCAGUCCACCCCCUCGGUCAUCUAUUUUUUUAGAUGACAAAAAUUUAUUGUCAAAUACAAAGGUUUCACUUCUUUUGAAAAA